rnacentral:precursor_RNA from 12 species
GCUUUCAGCCUCGUCGAUCGGGGUGAGCAUGGGAGGGGGGAACGGGCUUCGACUCUCGUCUGCAGCAGUCAGUCUUUUUCUCUCUCCUAUGCUCGCACCGACAAUUCGUCCGCUCCGUCG